rnacentral:rRNA from 1 species
AACGAACGCUGGCGGCAUGCCUAACACAUGCAAGUCGAACGAGACCUUCGGGUCUAGUGGCGCACGGGUGCGUCACGCGUGGGAACCUGCCCUUAUGUUCGGAAUAACUCCCCGACUGGGGUGCUAAUACCGGAUAAUGUCUUCGGACCAAAGAUUUAUCGCCCUUGGAUGGGCCCGCGUUGGAUUCGCUAGUUGGUAGGGUAAAAGCCUACCAAGGCGUCGAUCCAUAGCUGGGCUGAGAGGAUGGUCAGCCACACUGAGACUAGGACACGGCCCAGACUCCUACGCGAAGCAGGAGAGGGGGAUAUAGGACAAUGGGGGGAGGCAUGAAGGAGCAAGGCGGGGAGAGUGAUGAAGGCGGUAGAGAAGUAAAGCUCGUUUACCCGGGAUGAUAAUGACGGUACCGAGAGAAUAAGCUCCGGCUAACUCCGUG